GACGAACGCUGGCGGCGUGCCUAAUACAUGCAAGUGGAACGCAUUGAUAUCACCGGAGCUUGCUCCACCGAUAUAAAUGAGUCGCGAACGGGUGAGUAACGCGUAGGUAACCUGCCUGAUAGCGGGGGAUAACUAUUGGAAACGAUAGCUAAUACCGCAUGAGAGUGUUUAACACAUGUUAGAGACUUAAAAGAUACAAUUGUAUCACUAUCAGAUGGACCUGCGUUGUAUUAGCUAGUUGGUAGGGUAGCGGCCUACCAAGGCAACGAUACAUAGCCGACCUGAGAGGGUGAUCGGCCACACUGGGACUGAGACACGGCCCAGACUCCUACGGGAGGCAGCAGUAGGGAAUCUUCGGCAAUGGACGAAAGUCUGACCGAGCAACGCCGCGUGAGUGAAGAAGGUUUUCGGAUCGUAAAGCUCUGUUGUAGCGGAAGAACGCGUGUAAGAGU
rnacentral:rRNA from 1 species